GCCUCAUUAUACCUAAAGGUGGGGUUCAGACAAGUCUGGAGAAGUCUGACAAACUGGGGUGGUAGAGAGUUUUCACCCCUUUUUUUAAGUGGCUCUCAGGAUCUCAUCGGCCAGUGGCAUGCUCUGAUGCGAGAAAUAGAGGCCCAGGAAGGCUUUGUCAGGGACCCAGCCCUGGCCAUCCGCAGGCAGGGGCAGUGGGGAGUGGAGCAGUGUGUGCGCCAAGUCCACGGAUCUCCUGGCCAGACUUCCAGGACUCUGAACUGAGCCCACGAUGAUGCUGCAGUUAGGGAAGCUGUAAUGAAAAUGAAGUAAAAUUUCACAGAUGCUCCAAGCCCAAGUGGGCUCGAAAGUAAGGGGAGUCAUUCACCCUCUUGUGCACCCCGACCAUGCUUUGGCGCUGGCAGCGGUGGAGCUGGAAGGCCGGGGAGGGGUGGGUAGUGGAGGGGAGGCAGGAAUCUGAGCGCCUCAUUUCUUUACACAGGGCAAGUAGCAAAGGAAACAGCCGUGCUGGGCUCUGCGGUACCCACCGAGACAGGACUGAAGCAAAAUAAGAGAAAUACAACUGCCCAUGUUGGAUACAUAGAUCACAUGUGUUUGUGUGUUCCCAUUCAUGAUUUUGAGAGAGGCCCAGACCUGUUUGGAAGAGGUCAGCGACUGCAGGAGUCCAGGGGGAGGAACCAGCGACGCUCAAUGCAUACAGAUUCCCAUGACAUAGAGAAUAAAAGGGUCAAGUGCUCUAAAUCCUACCAGCAGAGAAUGAGCUACAGGAGUUGUAGAGAAGAAAGCAAGGGGACGAUCAGGUAAUUCCAUGAAAACUUGUAAGCUGUGAACAUGAGCCUCUAGCACUUCCUGAAUGAAAUGCCGUGUUUAUGUCAGGUGAUUCGCCAAUGUUGACUCUUAAAGCAAGGAUUAUUUUCUUCAUUGAAGAGAUAAACUGGACUGGAAGAGCCCAAGGAACAGCCCAGGAUUAUCAGACUGAGUAAAGAGCAGAGUUAGUGUCCAAUGUGGUCUGGCCUCGAAAUCCCUCAACUUUUUUCUCCAUCUUCUGCCUUUCCAAGAAAAUUUUGGUCCUCACAAGCCUGCUUGACCUGUCUUGGAAUCUGAACAUUGAACCAAGCCUUAUUGCCCAUAAUUCAGUAGCAAAUUAGUCAUCUGCCUUGGAGCUCCCUACAUGGGUAUCUGAAUUUGGACAAAAGCAUCAUAUCUUCCCCUAACUACACUGCAGACAACCUUUGGGAACACUGAGAUAAUUCAAUCAUCCCUCACUUCCCCUCUCUUGCUUCCGACCUACAUGCUUUGAAAAGGCAAGGCAUGAUAACACUGUUAAUAACACUGUUAAGGAACACGCAGCUUUUGCUAACAGUAAAUUAAAAGUUUCUAUGGGAAAGUCAAGGGGAGCCUGUUUUCUGUAAAUACCAUUCUGUUGAGUUCAAAGUAAAAUGAUCAAAGACAAAUUAUUGUAUAGAUCAUAAGUUAAGCUGUACAAAUAUAAACACAGUGAUAUAAAGGCUACCAAAACAGACUAUCCUUCAACCCCUUGAGGUUUAGAUGCAAGAACACAGUCUCAGUAGCCACUAAAAAGAGACUGUACUUGAACAGAGGAAUGAGACAGAUAAUCAUUUCUCUAACGAAGAGAAUCAUUCUCAUGCAGGUGGGAAAAUAUUAAAGGAACUAUGUCUCUAAAAGCCUCUAAGAUAAUAAAAUAGGUAAUGUCUAUUUUUCCUUUAAAGUGUUUAUUUUGACAUAGUUUCCGAUUUAAAGUAAGAUACUGCAAAACCAAUAAAAAUUCCAUAUUUUUUUAUCCUAUACCCAGAUUAGUCAAAUGUAAACAUUUUACCAUAUUUACUUUAUCCUCUCUCCCAACCCCAUAUGUACACAGAUACACACUCUCUCUUUCCCCCUCUAAGUUUGGACAGAAGACCCCUUUGCCUUAAAUAUAUUAGUGUGUAUUUCCUAGAAGCAAGAGCAUCUCUUAGAUAAAUAUAUUACAAUGAUCACAACUAAUUUUUUAAGACUUUAUUUUUAUGUAUUCUCUACACACAACAUGGGGCUCGAACCUACAAUCCCAAGUUCACGAGUCACAUGCUCUACUGACUGAGUCAGCCAGGUGCCCAAUGAGAAUUAAUGUUUUAAGAAAGUAGGUCCUUUAGACUGGUCCUUUAACUGGGAAUAAUGUCUCAGUAUUUAUGUUUUAGGAUACUGGUGGUUUUUGAAGAGCACACCCCAGCCCAGUUAGUCUUUGUCUGACGUUUUAUGAUUUGAUUCAAGUUUGCACUUCUGGCAGGAAUUGGUGCUGUCUUUGUCCCAAUUCACCCUAUCAGGAGACACUUGAUGACAAUUUGUGCCAUUAAUAAUAAAUGGUUAGCUGCAGUCACGGGUUAAGGUGACUAUUGCUAGGUUUCUCCACUAUAAAGUUAGUAUUUUACCCUUUGUAAUUAAUAAACAUUUCGUGGAGGAGAUGUAAAAGCAAUUUGAGAAUUUUACUUUAAAUCCUAGAAAUUAUCAUUUAAAUGCUUUCCCCCUCUUUUGUUCUCAUUAGUAUAAGCUAUCCACAAUCCUGAAUUCUCAAGAGGUUUAAAAAAAAAUCCAUUGUAUCUAAAACACUCAUGUAUUUCAAAUGACAUUAGAUAUGUCUAUUUUAUAUAAAAUAUAAACUUUUCUCAUAUAUUUUUAAGGGCAGAAAUACUCUUAUGGUUAUAGGUACUUGAUAAAGGAUAAAAGAUUUCCAUUUUUAUAUUCAUUCUUAUUAUUCUUGGAACUACAUUCCUACUCACCCCCAAAAUUUAGAUGACAACUGAUUGUAGGCAAGGUCUGGUAAUAUUUUCUAAGAAAUGUUUAUUUUGGAGAAGUGCCAUUGGCACAUCUUAUCCUUUGGCAUUAAAUAUAAUCUAACUACAGGGGGGGAAAGUCAGCAUUGGAUGUAGUUCAGAAUAAUUGUGACUUUCUUCUGGAUAAAGUAGCAAAAACACUUGUUUAUAGACAUGUCUCAUUAUUUAAUAAAAAAAAAAAACAAGAGGGUUUUGCAACAAUGUCUCUGACAGUUCCAUGCAGAGUGGUUUGGGGCGGGGGAAGGAGUGAUAACAGAUACCCCAUGGAAAGUUACUGCUGUUAAUCCAGAGAAGAGAUACUGAUGCACCAAAAUGUGAGUCAGGAGAGGGGUGCCUGGGUGGCUCAGCGAAUU
ensembl:lincRNA